GCAUAACCCUUGCUCUCCCCCAUCCCUCAUUCUCCCUCCCCAUACCUCUAUCUCUGGAUCUGGCAGCUGGCAUGUAGUCCACCCAGCAUCGUUCAACCCCUCUGGCUGACACUCAAUGCUUUUUGUUUUUUCAUUCUCAAUGCUGCAGCUGUGCUUGGCUGUCACCCUCCACACAGAGGGUGUCUCUGCCACCACCCCGGCCCCGCUCCAGGACAACUGCUCAUUGACAAAGGUCCUUGAUGUUUUCUGAGGCACCCCUCAUGUCGAACAAGGGCAGGGAUGGAGAAGAGUUUGAGGAGUUAGCCAGACCAGAACCUCCACCACAGAAGCCUGUCCACAGACCAGGUAAAGAAAUGUACACUCAGGAGAGAAGGCGGACCCUCCAGGAGAGGACAAUGCCUUCUCAACAGGAACCUCCAGUUAGGCAGCAAGUCCCGAAGAUGAUGCCCAGAGAACCCAGUCUCCCUGCCAGAAGCAUGUCUCUGCGAAAAGCUAUGUCUCUCCAGAACUUGAGCCAGAUAGAGACACCCUGGGAAGGGGUCACCCUCAACCGCUGUCUGUUCAUAGCCAUCACCAUCCUGCUGUUCAGCACUGUCUUUCAGAAACUACACGAAACCAUAAAAGGUGGACGGGGUGUGGAGGAAGAGGAGUAUGACAUUGCACUGACUGUGAGGCGCUCUGCGCUGAGACACAAAGUCCAACCACAGGAGGUAGUGGUACAGACAUACAAAAUACUCUCCCGUCUCUCUGGGCUCAGAAACCUCAUUCCCGACAUGCCAAAGACAUCUCUGUAUGAGGUGCUCUUCUGGUGGUUACCUGACAUUGAUGACGAUAAUGAAGAAGAAGCUGAUGAAGAGGAAACCAAACAAGGUCGAGUGAAGAAAAGGGUUCGAGAGAGGUCGCUGAAGGGCCUGAGAGGCAAUGGAACACCAGAGAGAAAACUUGUAAAAGGCAGAGAGGGGAAGACAAAAGAUAAGAGGGCCAAGAGAGAGAGGGAUGAAGAAACUAAGGGAAAGACAAAGGGAAAACAGGCCAAGCUGGGAGAUGUGGAAAAAAUGGAUGAGGAAAUAAAAGGGGAAGAUGAGGUAAAACCCAAGAAGCUACAAAAGGUUAUGAAAUCAAAAGCCAGCAAAUCUUAA
rnacentral:lncRNA from 1 species